rnacentral:misc_RNA from 1 species
GAUGAAGAACGUAGCGAAAUGCGAUAAGUAAUGUGAAUUGCAGAAUUCAGUGAAACAUCGAAUCUUUGAACGCACAUUGCGCCCGUCAGUAUUCUGGCGGGCAUGCCUGUUCGAGCGUCAUUACGCCCCUCAAGUCCCCUGUGGACUUGGUGUUGGGGAUCGGCGAGGCUGGUUUUCCAGCACAGCCGUCCCUUAAAUUAAUUGGCGGUCUCGCCGUGGCCCUCCUCUGCGCAGUAGUAAAACACUCGCAACAGGAGCCCGGCGCGGUCCACUGCCGUAAAACCCCCCAACUUUUUAUAGUUGACCUCGAAUCAGGUAGGACUACCCGCUGAACUUAAGCAUAUCAAUAAGCGGAGGA